GACGAACGCUGGCGGCGUGCUUAACACAUGCAAGUCGAACGGUGAAGCUCCAGCUUGCUGGAGUGGAUCAGUGGCGAACGGGUGAGUAACACGUGAGCAACCUGCCCCUGACUCUGGAAUAAGCGCUGGAAACGGCGUCUAAUACUGGAUACGAGAAGGGUCCGCAUGGGCACUUUCUGGAAAGUUUUUCGGUUGGGGAUGGGCUCGCGGCCUAUCAGCUUGUUGGUGAGGUAAUGGCUCACCAAGGCGACGACGGGUAGCCGGCCUGAGAGGGCGACCGGCCACACUGGGACUGAGACACGGCCCAGACUCCUACGGGAGGCAGCAGUGGGGAAUAUUGCACAAUGGGCGAAAGCCUGAUGCAGCGACGCCGCGUGAGGGAGGACGGCCUUCGGGUAGUAAACCUCUUUCAGCAGGGAAGAAGCGAAAGUGACGGUACCUGCAGAAGAAGCACCGGCUAACUACGU
rnacentral:rRNA from 1 species